UUUCUUUGUCACCAUUCAAGGCCUAACUUUAUUGGUGGAGUCUCAUUCUUUGGUAUUAUUUCAACUAACAUUAUUAAUAGAGUCUCAUUUUUUGGUACUAUUAAAUUAUUGACGGUGAAAUCCGGUGUCCGUACUGUGAAAUCAAAUUCAUACGAGUGGGAGUAAAUCAAAUUCACAAGUCAUUUUACAAGUAACUGCAACUCUCUUCAUUUGAUAUUUGUCAUAAGUCCCAAUUCUUUCACUUUUACUAUCAAAACUCCACAGAACAAAAAGAAAUCGAUAGAAAAAGAAAAACAAAAAAACAUUCUGCUUCAGAACUGCUCUACACUUUUCCCCACGAUCUCACAUCCUCCACUUUCCCUCCAAUUACAACAAUGGAACAACAUUAUUUCCUACAAAAAGACUCCACAUCUCUUACUUUUUCUGAUUCCGGUUUCUGCAACAUCAAUCGGAAAAUAAACUGCUUAUUUUGUUGAUCAUUCAUCGCGUCUAAGUAUUUUACGAAAUUGGCUUUGUUAUUUUCUUUAUGGGUUCCAUUAGAUCAUGGCUUUUCGUGAUUUUAUUGUUGCUUUGGCUUUGAUUCUUGAGUUACAACCUUUUGUGUCAGUUGUCAUUUCAUGUCUCUGAUUUUAAGGUCUAUCAUCGAUUGAUAGAAGGUAUAACCUUUUUCUUGCUCAUUCUAUUUUCUCAUAUUUAAUGCCCAUUGAUUAUCAAAAUCACUUCUCAUGAUUUUAAUCAACUUCUAUAUCUGGAUCUCUUAUUAGAUUCAGGAUUCUAUUUAUUAAUUCAUCUUGAGAGAACCCAUUCUCUUGAACUGUACGGCAAUGGGAGAUGAGACACCUUCUCGGCUACUUUGUUCUUCAUGUAAGUUGAGGAAUGAAUAAGAAGCAUGGAGAUUACCUAAAUUACAAUUUGUGCCAGUGGAAGCUUCUCAGGUAGAACCAGCACGACAAGACAACCAAAAACCUCAAAGCUAUCUCAAUGUUUCCCAACAAAUCCACGAAGAUCUACUGGCAUAAUAAAGACCAGAAAGAAGAACCAAUAAUAAAGACUACGAAGAUCUACUAUAAAAAGUUUUUCCUUAACCGAGAAGAGAACUUAGUAGAACUAGUAAUAUCCUUUUUAUGUGCUUCGAGUAGAUAAUCUUAGUAAAGAUAUCAGAUAUUAGAUGGCAUUCUGGAUUCUGUAGCCAGUGAGAUAUGAAAAGAAGCCUGUCAUAAAUAAAUGUGUUUUUUCUCUAAGUCUUAAUGCCAUUGUUCUCAAAAGAUAUUCAGAUA